UGCCGGCGCCCAUCGAUCUUUGCAUAUCGGAAUGAUACUCCCACCGGCCACCAUAUCCCACAGGCCACAGCUUAUAAAAGCUGCGGCAUGGGAGGUUUCGUUUUGCAGAACAUCUUUAGACGAAGCCACAGCGCUCUGCAGCACACAGAUAAUAUACUCCUCCAUCCAGCUCGGAGCAAAGAGAGCAGCUAUAGUCUUCGUGACAAUAACCAACCGACUGAGCGAUCAUGGCGUCUCUGCUCGGUCUGUACACCAGCGGCAGCGCCCGGGGCAGGAGGGUCCACGCCGCCAGGAGCAGUGGCCGCCGCCAGUCGGCUGCGCCGUUGAAGCAGCUGCUGUCGAGGUUGAGGUGCUCCUGGAGGAGACGCGCGGCGCGGCCGAGGCGCGGCGCGGUCAGGUUCGGGUAUGACCUGCAUAGCUACUCGCAGAACUUCGACGAUGGCGAUGCCUAGUCAGCCCGGCGGCCAGGACUAGCUUCUUCAGUACGUGUAGCUAGCUAGCUAGGAGUCUAGGACCUGCAGGAUCCUCCUUCAUCAGUACGUGUAACUAGCUAUGGCCAGGAUAUUAGUGUGGCUUUAAUUAGUGCUUUGUCCUGAUCACUGAGAUUUCAGUCCAGUGUUAAUUUCCGGUGAUCGAUUAUCUGCUCUCUAGCUGGUUCAUCCAGUUAUUGUAUAAAGAAAUUACUUCAUCUUAUAAUUAAGUUUGCACAGGCAAGCAAUUCUAUGCUUGCCAUAUAUAGAUCAACGAUUUGGUC
rnacentral:misc_RNA from 1 species